rnacentral:rRNA from 1 species
GACGGAGAUGCAAGUGUUAUCCGGAAUCACUGGACGUAAAGCGUCUGUAGGUGGUUCAAUAAGUCAACUGUUAAAUCUUGAGGCUCAACUUCAAAAUCGCAGUCGAAACUAUUGGACUCGAGUAUAGUAGGGGUAAAGGGAAUUUCCAGUGGAGCGGUGAAAUGCGUAGAUAUCUGGAGGAAUACCGGUGGCGAAGGCGGCAUCCUGGACCGACAUUGACGCUGAUGAGCGAAAGCUAGGGGAGCAAACGGG